GCUAGCGUGGCAGAAUCNNNUAUAAUGCAAAAGGCUUAAACCCUUUAUUCAGAGGUUCAAAUCCUCUCUCUAGCU
rnacentral:tRNA from 1 species